UGGCGGCGUGCUUAACACAUGCAAGUCGAACGGUAAGGCCCUUCGGGGUACACGAGUGGCGAACGGGUGAGUAACGCGUGAGUAACCUGCCCUUCACUCUGGGAUAACAGUUGGAAACGGCUGCUAAUACCGGAUAUUCAGCUCCUGUCGCAUGGUGGGGGUUGGAAAGUUUUGGUGGUGGAGGAUGGGCUCGCGUCCUAUCAGCUUGUUGGUGGGGUGAUGGCCUACCAAGGCGUCGACGGGUAGCCGGCCUGAGAGGGCGACCGGCCACAUUGGGACUGAGAUACGGCCCAAACUCCUACGGGAGGCAGCAGUGGGGAAUAUUGCACAAUGGGCGGAAGCCUGAUGCAGCAACGCCGCGUGCGGGAUGACGGCCUUCGGGUUGUAAACCGCUUUCAGCAGGGACGAAGCGCAAGUGACGGUACCUGCAGAA
rnacentral:rRNA from 1 species